UUAAAAUAAAAAUAAAUAAAAUUAAAGGCUAUGGCUUCAGAAGUUCUAUUACAGAUGACCUGAACGACUCAAUAGUCACAAGGCUGAUGUCCGCAUUUCUCAUCUCAAUAUACAAGCCACAAGCUAACAAUGACAUUGACUUCAGAAUUAAUCUGGCUAGCAAGGUAAAGCGAGAUCAAAGACUUGUGCAGUGAUACCAACACCAUGAGCAAAUGCCAGCAGGCAUUCUACUGUAGGAAGAACAUCCAAUUUUGUUCCUACAGACUGCAAUGGCCUGGUGUAAGAAUCUCUACAUCGGGUCUUUGCAUUUAAAAGGUGGUUUCAGAUCACUAAGGGUUUUUUUGCUGUAUUUCCUCUAGGCAUGCAUGUAUGGCAGAUGUGAAGCAAGGUCAUGUGUUUCUCUGAACUGGACUACUGGAGUAUGAGGGGCAUGGGGCUCUUUCCUGCCUCCAUCCUGACCUUCACCAUUAAGACGGGAGCAGCAACGCUUGUUGAUGUCUAAUCAGCCUGGGGAAGUUCUGUCCUUUGGGGAGCUGUGUUCUCACUGCAAGAUGUUCCAAGUCUUCCUCUUUCCAUGUAUGUUGAACCUUCCUGCUAACAAGCCUGACAAGAAAGCAUUACACAUCUUUGAAGAAAAGUGGAAAGAACAAAUCCUGCUCUGGACAACCCAGGAAAGGACUGGAAUGCCCCAGGAUGCUGCACACAGCUUCCCAUACGGAGGAAACCAAGGCCUGCAUCCACAAAGCAUGACCUCAGGUCCUGGGAUUUUCUCUGCAGCCUCCAGCACACAGAAACAGA